AUCUAGCCUUGUGACCUUGAGCAAGGCAUGUAAGCUCCUUGAGUCUUGUUUCUUCACCUGUAAAGUGGAAAUACCUAUCGCUACCUUUAGGUACCUUUUUGGAUCAUUGUGAAUGUGCACAGUAUCUAGGAAAUAGCAAGUCAUGAAUACAUGCUAACAAUUAUUAACAGUUAACAUUGAUUGCACAUCUGGUAUGUGCCAGGAAUUAUGGGAAUCCUCAAAGCAUUUCUAGGAAAUAAGAACCAUUAUUAUCUUCACUUGCCGAUGAGAAAGAGAUGGACUAAAUACUGGCUUAAUGUCCCAAAGGUAGGAGAUGGCCAUGCCAGGAUUGUAGAGCCUGCAGCUGGCCUCUACUCCACAUGUAAGAAGAAUGGCUGUGCAGGGUUUUGCCACCUGGAGUAAGAACUGCCUGAAUAUGUAUCCCAGGGAGGAUUCUAAGACCUGCAGAACUCCUUGCUCCCAAUCCCUCCUCUUUUCCAUGCCUUCUCAUUCAUACUUAAGCCAGAAGCUGGGAGGGGCAAAUCUGAUGCAAACAGACAGGAUCACACAGCCAGUAGACCCCUUGCAGUCCUGCUAUAACUUGGCUUCACACUCAGCUGUGAACUUGUCAGCUGAACACACAACUGCAAGUGCAGUGUUCCAUGUGCAUGCCAUUAAGAAAACUCCAGUCAUUCUAAUGUUAUUUUAUUAGAAGGAAGGAAUGGAGUCUUAAAUACAGAUCCACUCUAUUAAGAUAGUUGAAAAACAUAGAUGUAAAUAUCAUGACAUUAUUGUGCUAUCACCAUUACAUCAUCCUGCAUACCCCCACUCUCCACAAACUUAAAUAGAAGUCAUUUUUGUUAUCAAUACUAAAUACCCUUUAAUCUAAGAUAUUCAGAUCAGAAACUGUUGUGGUAACUUAUGUACAGCUAAAAAGGUGUACAAUGCAGAUUAAAGAGAUCAUGACACUUUGCUCUUUCAUUAAAAUACUAGUGUGUUGUCCAUCAACUGAUGAAUGGAUAUACAAAUGUGGUAUAACCCUACAGUGGAAUUUUACUCAGCCAUGGAAAAAAAAGAAGCACUGAUACAUGCUACAACACAAAUAAACUUCAGAGAACAAUAUCAAUAUGUUUUAUCCCUGAUUGGUUGAAUUCAUGGAUGUAAAACUUGCGAAUACAAAGGGCUGGCUAUACUUUAAACAAGUGAACUUUAUGGAACAUAAAGUAUAUCACAAUAAAGCUGCUUAAAAAA